rnacentral:rRNA from 1 species
GAUGAACGCUAGCGGCAGGCCUAACACAUGCAAGUCGAGGGUAGAACACUUCGGUGUUUGAGACCGGCGCACGGGUGCGUAACGCGUAUGCAAUCUACCUUGUACAGGGGAAUAGCCCAGAGAAAUUUGGAUUAAUGCCCCAUAGUAUAUAACCUUCGCAUGUUGGUUAUAUUAAAGUUCCAACGGUACAAGAUGAGCAUGCGUCCCAUUAGUUAGUUGGUAAGGUAACGGCUUACCAAGACGAUGAUGGGUAGGGGUCCUGAGAGGGAGAUCCCCCACACUGGUACUGAGACACGGACCAGACUCCUACGGGAGGCAGCAGUGAGGAAUAUUGGUCAAUGGUCGCAAGACUGAACCAGCCAUGCCGCGUGCAGGAAGACGGUCCUAUGGAUUGUAAACUGCUUUUAUACAGGAAGAAACCCUCCCACGUGUGGGAGCUUGACGGUACUGUAGGAAUAAGGAUCGGCUAACUCCGUG